rnacentral:rRNA from 1 species
GCCUGGGAAACUGGGUCUAAUACCGGAUAGGAGCGCCUACCGCAUGGUGGGUGUUGGAAAGAUUUAUCGGUUUUGGAUGGACUCGCGGCCUAUCAGCUUGUUGGUGAGGUAAUGGCUCACCAAGGCGACGACGGGUAGCCGGCCUGAGAGGGUGACCGGCCACACUGGGACUGAGACACGGCCCAGACUCCUACGGGAGGCAGCAGUGGGGAAUAUUGCACAAUGGGCGCAAGCCUGAUGCAGCGACGCCGCGUGAGGGAUGACGGCCUUCGGGUUGUAAACCUCUUUCAGUAGGGAAGAAGCGAAAGUGACGGUACCUGCAGAAGAAGCACCGGCUAACUACGUGCCAGCAGCCGCGGUAAUACGUAGGGUGCGAGCGUUAUCCGGAAUUAUUGGGCGUAAAGAGCUCGUAGGCGGUUUGUCGCGUCUGUCGUGAAAGUCCGGGGCUUAACCCCGGAUCUGCGGUGGGUACGGGCAGACUAGAGUGCAGUAGGGGAGACUGGAAUUCCUGGUGUAGCGGUGGAAUGCGCAGAUAUCAGGAGGAACACCGAUGGCGAAGGCAGGUCUCUGGGCUGUAACUGACGCUGAGGAGCGAAAGCAUGGGGAGCGAACAGGAUUAGAUACCCUGGUAGUCCAUGCCGUAAACGUUGGGCACUAGGUGUGGGGACCAUUCCACGGUUUCCGCGCCGCAGCUAACGCAUUAAGUGCCCCGCCUGGGGAGUACGGCCGCAAGGCUAAAACUCAAAGGAAUUGACGGGGGCCCGCACAAGCGGCGGAGCAUGCGGAUUAAUUCGAUGCAACGCGAAGAACCUUACCAAGGCUUGACAUGUUCUCGAUCGCCGUAGAGAUACGGUUUCCCCUUUGGGGCGGGUUCACAGGUGGUGCAUGGUUGUCGUCAGCUCGUGUCGUGAGAUGUUGGGUUAAGUCCCGCAACGAGCGCAACCCUCGUUCCAUGUUGCCAGCACGUCGUGGUGGGGACUCAUGGGAGACUGCCGGGGUCAACUCGGAGGAAGGUGAGGACGACGUCAAAUCAUCAUGCCCCUUAUGUCUUGGGCUUCACGCAUGCUACAAUGGC